AAAUGAAUAGACGGGGGCCCGCACAAGCGGUGGAGCAUGUGGUUCAAUUCGACGCAACGCGAAGAACCUUACCUGGGUUGGAACCCUCCAGAAGUCCGCAGAGAUGUGGAUGUGCUCGCAAGAGAACUGGAUGUCCAGGUGCUGCAUGGCUGUCGUCAGCUCGUGUCGUGAGAUGUUGGGUUAAGUCCCGCAACGAGCGCAACCCUUGUCGUUAGUUGCUAACAGUUCGGCUGAGCACUCUAACGAGACUGCCGGUGUUAAACCGGAGGAAGGUGGGGAUGACGUCAAGUCCUCAUGGCCCUUAUGCCCAGGGCUACACACGUGCUACAAUGGGCGGUACAAAGCGUCGCUAACCCGCGAGGGGGAGCCAAUCGCAAAAAACCGUCCUCAGUUCAGAUUGCAGUCUGCAACUCGACUGCAUGAAGUUGGAAUCGCUAGUAAUCCCUGAUCAGCAGGCAGGGGUGAAUACGUUCCCGGGCCUUGUACACACCGCCCGU
rnacentral:rRNA from 1 species